GAACACAAAUUCUAUUGCGAUAACACAAUUUACCAUUAUCAUCAACACUGUACUCUGAAUUUAAAUUAUUCUGAACCAUCUGUCGUUUCAACACCAACUUCAGUUCUUCAUCUUGCAAUUCUUGAAUUCUUUGAAGACAUUAGGGAUUCAUUCUCAACUUUGCUAAUACUUAACUAUCUUCAUUAAAAACUAAAUGAGCAUUCAACGCUUGAAAUGAAAACAAUGACGAUUUCAGACUAAGUGCAUCUGCAACUACGUUAGCCUUUCCCGG
rnacentral:lncRNA from 1 species